rnacentral:rRNA from 1 species
GACAGAGGGUGCAAACGUUGCUCGGAAUUACUGGGCGUAAAGCGCGUGUAGGCGGACCUGUAAGUCGGACGUGAAAGCCCUGGGCUCAACCCAGGAACUGCAUCCGAAACUGCGGGUCUGGAGUGGUGGAGAGGGAAGCAGAAUUCCUGGUGUAGAGGUGAAAUUCGUAGAUAUCAGGAGGAACACCGGUGGCGAAGGCGGCUUCCCUGGACACUUACUGACGCUGAGACGCGAAAGCGUGGGGAGCAAACAGG